rnacentral:rRNA from 1 species
GACAGAGGGGGCAAGCGUUGCUCGGAAUCACUGGGCGUAAAGGGCGCGUAGGCGGGAUAGCAAGUCGGUCGUGAAAUCCUUCGGCUCAACCGAAGAACGUCGGCCGAUACUGCCGUUCUUGAGGGAUGCAGAGGAGAUUGGAAUUCCCGGUGUAGCGGUGAAAUGCGUAGAGAUCGGGAGGAACACCGGUGGCGAAGGCGGGUCUCUGGGCAUCUCCUGACGCUGAGGCGCGAAAGCGUGGGGAGCAAACGGG